UUAAUUGAAGCCAAAUAGAGGCAUAUUACUGUUAAUAAUAAAAAUGAAUUUAAAUUCCAAUUAAA
rnacentral:tRNA from 1 species